rnacentral:tRNA from 1 species
AGUUUUAUAGUUUAAUAAAAACAUUAAGUUGCAAACUUAAAAAUAAUUAGUUUUAAAGCUU